rnacentral:rRNA from 1 species
AAACUUUUAACAACGGAUCUCUUGGUUCUGGCAUCGAUGAAGAACGCAGCGAAAUGCGAUAAGUAAUGUGAAUUGCAGAAUUCAGUGAAUCAUCGAAUCUUUGAACGCACUUUGCGCCCCCUGGUAUUCCGGGGGGCAUGCCUGUUCGAGCGUCAUU